rnacentral:rRNA from 1 species
GGACCCGCACAAGUAGUGGAGCAUGUGGUUUAAUUCGAUGAUACGCGAGGAACCUUACCAGGGCUUAAAUGGGAGAUGACAGGGGCAGAGCGCCCUUUUCUUCGGACAUCUUUCAAGGUGCUGCAUGGUUGUCGUCAGCUCGUGCCGUGAGGUGUCAGGUUAAGUCCUAUAACGAGCGCAACCCCUACCGUUAGUUGCCAGCGAUUCAAGUCGGGGACUCUAACGGGACUGCCGGUGCAAACCGUGAGGAAGGUGGGGACGACGUCAAAUCAUCACGGCCCUUACGUCCUGGCUACACACGUGCUACAAUGGUCGGUACAGAGGGAAGCUACCCCGUAAGGGGAUGCGGA